rnacentral:tRNA from 1 species
CAUUACGAAGCUUAGAGCGUUAACCUUUUAAGUUAAAGAUAGAGAUGUCCAAUCUCCGUAGUGA